rnacentral:rRNA from 1 species
GACCUUAUAGCUUUUGGAGCGGCCGAUGUCUGAUUAGCUAGUUGGUGGNGUAAUGGCCUACCAAGGCGACGAUCAGUAGUUGGUCUGAGAGGACGGCCAGCCACACUGGGACUGAGACACGGCCCAGACUCCUACGGGAGGCAGCAGUGGGGAAUUUUGGACAAUGGGCGAAAGCCUGAUCCAGCAAUGCCGCGUGAGUGAAGAAGGCCUUCGGGUUGUAAAGCUCUUUCAGUUGAGAAGAAAAGAUCGUGAUUAAUAAUUGCGAUUUAUGACGGUAUCAACAGAAGAAGCACCGGCUAACUACGUGCCAGCAGCCGCGGUAAUACGUAGGGUGCAAGCGUUAAUCGGAAUUACUGGGCGUAAAGGGUGCGCAGGCGGUUUUGUAAGUCAGAUGUGAAAUCCCCGGGCUUAACCUGGGAAUU